GCCAGGGCAGGGUCUGGGCAGAGGCCUCCUCGAUCAUCCCACCCCUCUGGCAGGGGCAGACUUUGUUCAUCCAAUACACUGUCCCGGCUUCCUGCCUCCUGCUGGCCUCUGUACUGACCACUUCUCAAGGACAGAUACUAAGAGGGACAAGACAAGCCACCCCCCCCCCACCUGCAGUCACCCCACUUGAAGUCUAGACCAGUGGUCUCCAAAGAGUGUUUGGCCAUGCUCCCUAACAAUAAAAAAAAACAUUAUUGAGA